rnacentral:rRNA from 1 species
UACAGAGGUCCCAAGCGUUGUUCGGAAUUACUGGGCGUAAAGGGCGCGUAGGCGGCCUGCUAAGUCGGAUGUGAAAUCCCUCGGCUCAACCGAGGAACUGCAUCCGAUACUGGCGGGCUUGAAUCCGGGAGAGGGAUGUGGAAUUCCAGGUGUAGCGGUGAAAUGCGUAGAUAUCUGGAGGAACACCGGUGGCGAAGGCGGCAUCCUGGACCGGUAUUGACGCUGAGGCGCGAAAGCUAGGGGAGCAAACGGG